UUAGAUAAUUUUAUUAUUAAUAAUACGACUCAUGCGUACACAAACAUAACAAAACAAACCCAAUAACACAGUAGCAACAAGCAACAGCAGACACGAAAGGAAACUCACAUGCAAAUUAAACCACCAGACAUGAACAGCAAGCACACGCACAGGGUCGCCGGUGAUACUUUAUUUAGUAAUAUAUUAUAAGAGCAUGCAAGCAUGCCCGGUGUGCGUGUGGAUGAUGAAGCUCAAAUCUCAGGUUCAUCAGAUGGCGCUGGCAGCCCACACG